AAAAAGCUACUUCAUAUUUAGA
rnacentral:snRNA from 1 species